rnacentral:siRNA from 1 species
CAAGACUUUGCUUCUUUUGGGUC